UACGUAGGGUGCAAGCGUUAAUCGGAAUUACUGGGCGUAAAGCGUGCGCAGGCGGUUUUGUAAGUCUGUCGUGAAAUCCCCGGGCUCAACCUGGGAAUUGCGAUGGAGACUGCAAGGCUAGAAUCUGGCAGAGGGGGGUAGAAUUCCACGUGUGAGCAGUUGAAAUGCGUAGAGAUGUGGAGGAACACCGAUGGCGAAGGCAGCCCCUGGGUCAAGAUUGACGCUCCAUGCACGAAAGCUGGGGAGCAAACGAGG
rnacentral:rRNA from 1 species